GCGAACGCUGGCGGCAGGCCUAACACAUGCAAGUCGAGCGGCCGUAGCAAUACGGCAGCGGCAGACGGGAGGGUAACACGUGGGAACGCGCCCUUUGGUUCGGAAUAACUCAGGGAAACUUGAGCUAAUACCGGAUAAGCCCUUACGGGGAAAGAUUUAUCGCCAAAGGAACGGCCCGCGUCCGAUUAGCUAGUUGGUGAGGUAACGGCUCACCAAGGCGACGAUCGUUAGCUGGUCUGAGAGGAUGACCAGCCUCACCGGGACUGAGACACGGCCCAGACUCCUACGGGAGGCAGCCGUGGGGAAUCUUGCACAAUGGGCGCAAGCCUGAUGCAGCCAUGCCGCGUGAGUGAUGAAGGCCUUAGGGUUGUAAAGCUCUUUUAGCAGGGAAGAUAAUGACGGUACCUGCAGAAAAAGCCCCGGCUAACUUCGU
rnacentral:rRNA from 1 species